GUGCCAGCAGCCGCGGUAAGACAGAGGUGGCAAGCGUUGCUCGGAGUUACUGGGCAUAAAGGGCGCGUAGGCGGUCGUGCACGUCGAGGGUGAAAUCCCCGGGCUUAACCCGGGAACUGCCUUUGAUACGGCGCGACUCGAGUGCGGGAGGGGAGAGUGGAACUCCUGGUGGAGCGGUGAAAUGCGUAGAUAUCAGGAGGAACGCCGGUGGCGAAAGCGACUCUCUGGUCCGCAACUGACGCUGAGGCGCGAAAGCUAGGGGAGCAAACGGGAUUAGAUACCCCCGUAGUCC
rnacentral:rRNA from 1 species